rnacentral:lncRNA from 1 species
GUAAUCCAAUUUUUCUUAUAGUAAAUCUGAGUUUGGUGAGUACCAAACUUGGUGGGUGUCAAAAUAGCUAGCCUGUGAUGGCCGGGCUAUCUACUCAGAAUAUUGCAAAAUGUGCUUUCACCGAAAAGCUAUUUUAAAAUCGGACACCGCGAUUGCAUAAAGGAGUUCUGUAUCUAUAAUUCUUAAAAUAAUUGUUAUGUGUUUUGUGAAAGUUUAUCGUGAGUAAUUUAGUAAAUUCACCGGAAGUUUCGGUGGGUAUGCUAGUUCUGAACGUCACAUGCUAAUGUAAAAAGCUAGUGUUUGAUAUAAAUAUGAACUUGAUUGAACAAAACAUGCAUGUAUUGUAUAACAUAAUGUCCUAGGAGUGUCAUCUGAUGAAGAUCAUCAAAGGUGAACGUGGUACCUUCAGGCGUUUGGAAAUUGCUCCCAAGGAUGAACCAGACUUGUGGAGGUCUACAAUUUUUUUCUGAGGUCUUGGCUGAUUUCUUUUGAUUUUCCCAUGAUGUCAAGCAAAGAGGCACUGAGUUUGAAGAGACCAAGGCCAUGGAGGAAUAUAUUGAGGACUCUGUCUGCUGGAGGAAUCAGGCCUUCGGCAUCCCCUGCCGGCGCAGGGACCCUGCUUCCGUGCAUUGCCUACAUUGAAUACUACUAUGCCUUAUUGACUGAGGUGUUGAUGUUGCCUUGACUCUGAACCUGCCUGCCUGACCAUACUGCCUGCCCUGACCUCGAGCCUGCCUGCCACUCUGUACCUCCUGGACUCUGACCUUGUUAUGAUCUUUUGCCUGUCCACGACCCUUCUCUUGCCAGCCCUUUGGAUACUAAUAAAUAUCAGAGACUCGAACCAUCUGCCUCCCGUAUCUGCAUCUUGGUCUCGCCCUGUGCCCUUAUAAAUUCAAUAAGACAAAAGCUGCAAAAUGGAGAGUUGAAAAUAAAGA